rnacentral:misc_RNA from 1 species
AACGCACCUUGCACCCUUUGGCAUUCCGAAGGGUAUGCUCGUUUGAGUGUCAUUGUACUCUCACACUUCCAAUCUUUGGUUGGGAGCGGUGGACUUGGGUGUUGCCGCUUCACCGUGGCUCACCUCAAAUGGAUUAGUGCAACUCCUAGUUGGGCACAGUACGGCAUGAUAAGUGUCUUCGCCGGCACCUCACUAGAGGGUGGUCAAUUGGGAGCGCUGUGCUGCAAACCGUCUUUGGACAAUAGCUGACAACUUGACCUCAAAUCGAGUAGGACUACCCGCUGAACUUAA